rnacentral:rRNA from 1 species
AUUGAACGCUGUCGGCAGGCCUAACACAUGCAAGUCGAACGAGUGGCGGACGGGUGAGUAAUGUCUGUGAAACUGCCUGAUGGAGGGGGCUAACUACUGGAAACGGUAGCUAAUACCGCAUACUCUCGGAUGUGCCCAGAUGGGAUGAGCUAGUAGUUGGGGUAAAGGCUCACCUAGGCGACGAUCUCUAGCUGGUCUGAGAGGAUGAUCAGCCACACUGGAACUGAGACACGGUCCAGACUCCUACGGGAGGCAGCAGUGGGGAAUAUUGCACAAUGGGCGCAAGCCUGAUGCAGCCAUGCCGCGUGUAUGAAGAAGGCCUUCGGGUUGUAAAGUACUUUCAGCGGGGAGGCGUUACCCGCAGAAGAAGCACCGGCUAACUCCGUGCCAGCCGCCGCGGUAAUUC